UUACUUUGGUUUGUAUAAUUUGUUUUAUUCCUAGUUUUUCUUUUAUUCUUCCCCCUUUUUUUGUUCCCUCCCCAACCCGGUCCUCCCUUAUAUUCUGUCCCUGCCCGCAGAGCCACUCCGGCCUCCCCAACCUUCGUUCUUGUUCCUCUGUCCUCCACCCUCCCUGGCUCUCUCACCCUGCCUGGUUCUGUUCUCUCUCCGUCCUCUGCCGCACACCCCAGUCCUCUCUCCCCUGCUUUCUCCUUCUCCAUCCUGGCUGUUCCCACACGCUGCCUCCCCCUGGUCCCAGUCACUGCCUUCUUGCACACCCCGGCCCCCCCCCCGGCUCCUCCGGCCUCCUCCUCCUCCCCUAUCCCGGCUCUGCCACACACCCCAACCCCCUGUCCCCACCUCUGUUCCCCUUUUUCCUGUGCACACAUUAAUGCUUUUUGCUCCUUUUCUAAAGAAAGAAUUAAGAGGGGAACUUGGGCAGCAGCUGAGCAAUACUAAGUUACUCUGCAACCAGGUGAAGUGACUUGAAGCUUGUAAGGUGGUCACUUAGAACUUUGGGGGCUCCAGGCGUAGGUGACCAACAGAGACCCCUGAUGGAGCCCCUCAGAGACCUGAUGAGAGUUUGUGUGCACAGUAACAGGUGUUGGGAAAUGUCCUGAAUAUGAAACAGGAAUGCAGGAAACAAAAUGAGCCCUCGUGUAAUGCUGACCCCUCACAUCAACUGCAGUGGAGACACCUCUGUGUGUAGACAGAGUUGUUUCUGUCGUGUGGGCCAGUGGAAAACAGGUGUGGCCUAUGAAGGGCCAGGUUGGACAGUUGUCAAACAGGAGCAGAAGUGACUCUCCAGGUAGCCUAAUAUAAAUAUGAGAAGCAAAGUGGGCAAGUGCCUGCUGUGACUGCAGAGGCAGGGAUAGGUUGGGAUCACAAGAACUGGGGUGGGCAUGCUUAGGAUUGAGCUGCUUUAGAGCCUGGUUCAGAGGGUGAAGUGUUUGCUGAAGUACAGCCAAUAACAGGAGAGAAAGUGGAAGGUGACCCCGAUGGUUAUCCCAUCAGGCCUGAUGUGGUGGAGGAUUUUACUCAGACUGAACUUCCUGGUGUUAUGGAGAGGUUUAAAGUAAAGGCCAGAGAGUCUGUGAUCUCCUGGACAGUUGGGCUGCAUGACCUGGGAGCCUCUGGGAUCAGAUUGGACUGGGCAGACAGGGAGCAGUUUGUCCCAUGGAGCUGGGCUGGGUUUGUUCAGGAUGCCUUCGGAGGCAGGGCUGGAGAGGCUCCUUUGUUGGCUGUAGUGGUGGAAGGUUGUCCCAGGAGGGCUGGAGCCCUUCGACCUCCUGCUCCCCCCGUGAGCCCCGACGGGACCGUGCACUUGGCAAUGGAGGGCCCCCCAUUGCUGAGUCAGCGGUUCCGGGGGCCGGCAGGGAUGGGAUCAGGAUGCCGAGCUCCAGCCCAGGCAGGGCAGGAAAUGGUGCAGCCACUGAAAGAAGCGAAGGCAGAGUGAGGUGAAGGCCGAGCUCCAGCACAAGGGUGGGUGAGAAAAGCCCAUGGCCCUCAGGUGGAGCUUUGAAUUCCUUGGAAAAAUGCAUCUUGUCAAAGGGCUCAGGCCCUUGUGGGUGCUGGAGCGGAGGCCUCUUCAACUGAUGGUCAGCCUAAAAAGGUGCAAGGACAGCAAGUUUUGAGGACAGGAUGAGGUGGCAAACAAGGUGAAGUGGUACAGAGAAAAGCUGAGCUUCAGAUUGGUCCUCUGCCACAGCAGCCUUGUGGAGUGCUUAUUGCUGUGCCUGACUGUGGAAGGGCAGUGGAUAUUUCCAAGGGCUGCCUUGUGCUGAGGAACACUGGGGUCAGUUCCUUUUCCCUGGGCAGGGCAGGCAGGGCAUGUUUACCUGGCCCCCUCGAGUGUGGCUUCGUAAGACUUGACCUGAUCACCAAAUGCAAAGAGUAAAUAGAGGGGGUCCAUUGGUGACCUUUGGGCAUCAGGUAGAACAACUCACUGCUCACCUCUGGGGGGACAUAUUUACAGCAUUCUCACCAUCUGAUAGGAAGUUUUCUGAACACUUUUUUUCAUCCACUAAUUAUUCAAUUAUUCAAAAAUAUUCAAUCCACUAAUAGUAAUUACACUGAUUUUAUGAACAAUAGGGAGUUGUUGUCUAUGGUAUCAACUCCAGGAAGUUGUUUCUUGCACGCCUCUGUCCUGACCAGGGAUCAAAGGACCAAAGGGAAAGGAUGAGAAGUUCCCUGAGAGUUGCUGCCCAGGGGCUGCUGCCCCUGAGGAACAGGGUGAAGGCUGUCUGUGCUCAGGUGCCCUGGCUGAAGUGUGCAGUUGGUGUGAGUGUUGCUGCAGAAAGGCAGGCCAGGUGUGUGCAGCUGUUCUGUGCCCUCCACCCUCGUCCCUGCCGGGGCACCUGACCAGCGCUCCAGGGGUGGCCAACUUGGAGCUCACAAGAAGCUGCCCGUGCCCACGACCGGACAGUGCCAGGCUUGGCCUAAAGCCAGCUCUGUCGGUCAGAGUCUGGCCAGCGGGAGCCUCUUGUAGCCACCCCGCAGCCUUUCCUGUGGAUGGAUGCACCCGUAGGAAUUGUGGCAGUUCCCGGAGACUGUGGGAUCGGCUGCACUGGGGCUGCCCAGCUGCCCUGUGGGCUGGGGGUGGAGCGUGAGGGGGCCGUGGGGGAGAGAUUUCUGCUUAGCCACAGUUCUGUCUCUCGGGGCAGUCAGGAUUUGAUGCCUUGCUCAUUUUCUUUUUUAUCCCAUAAAUCUCUAUCUGAUGUGUUGGAUUGUCUUUGUUUAAACUGUUUCUAUUAUUCUAUGACUGGUGAGUCGUUUCCUUGAGUGCCCUGCCUGUCAGCACAGCACCAGGUCUGUUCAGCAGCUGGAGACUGGGCAGGUUUGGGGGCUGUGGUGUCCCAGCUCCCUUUGCCAUCCCUGCUGAAGGGUGGGAACUGCACAGAGCCAGCAGCGUCCAGCUGGAGGAUCCAGGAGGAUGCAGCUCUGCUGUUCUGGGAGGGACACUGAGCUGGUCCAACUGUGGCAAGAAGAACAAGUGGGCCGUGAAGGUUUGGAGCAUUCUGGAAGGUUCCUCGUGCCCAAAGGAUCCUGGCAAGUGCAGCACUGGAAGAGUACAGAAUAAUGAAAAGUGCCUCAGUUCUUGUGAAGCUCAGCUUUGUAAAACAAGUCUCAAGACCAGACAAAAUCCUCCAGCAGGGAGCUUGGCAGAAAAGGCCCUGUGAAGCAAAGCAGCAUGAAAACCCAGAGCUGCUUGUGGAUGGCAGGUGAAACUUGGAGCCCUCCCAGGUUGUAAAAAGAGCCUUGGGAAUUGGCUUCUGGGAACAGGAAUCCGUUUCCUGAUGGGAGUCCUUGAAAUAGAACGAUGCCAGGAGCCUGCAGCCUUGGAAAACACAUAUGCCUGGGCUGCAGCUCCCAAGGGACGAUGCAGGGAUUCAGCACGUGCCCUUGUGCAGUCCAAAGAAAGGGAGUUUUAUUGCAUUCCCAGGAACUGCUCCAACAGCUGUGGACUUGCCCCUGCCUUCUCAGGGUAAGGAUGCGGUGACAGCAAGAAGGCUGUUGGUGGGAUUGGAGGGCACUUGCUGCAUGUUGGUCAGAUGUGUAACCUGUGGAAUGGGUGUGUUUCCUGGGAGAAAACAUUCUGGAGUGGCAGAAUGGUUGCCACAGACACCACGUGAGUGCCACACCACGGCGUGAGCCUUCAGGCCCUGCGAGUCCUCACCCAGACUUGGUGAAGUGUUGAAGUGUGAACUGAUUGCUGGGAGUAAGGAUGUGUCUGCCUCAGUCAGGGCUUCCUGUGGAAUGUUGGUGCUGCUGCUGCCGGGAGAGAGAAAUCCAUUGGGAAGCUGGGAUACAAACAGCAACUCUGUGAAUUACUCAGCUUCUCCUAGGACAAGGAAUUCACUGACUUGGGUCCAGCUCUGCCAAUGCCUCGUGGUGUGAGCAACCAAAGCAGCUCUUCUCGUGCAGGAAAUAACUCCUGUCAGCAGCACCGUCCCGACUGAAGCGGCACAUGGAGCUGUUCCUGUGGUGUGGGCCAGUGGAAUUCCAGGAGAAUGGACAAGGGCAGACCCUGUAGGUAUUACCAUGAAGCUGAGAUCUCUCUAGAAUGUGACUGCAAGAACCUGCAAAGAAACCCAGUGGCAAAGAGGAUGGAUCAGUGCAGGACGUGAGAGAAGCACCUGAAAUGACAACGUUGAGCAGCUGACAGUCUUAGAUUUCAAGAUGCCCUUUGCUGCAUCUCCUGGAGCAAGGCAAGCCAAGAAACCUUUGCUUUUGAAGGAGAAAAUGCAGAAAUGGGGAAGGAAGACAAGAAGCCACCUGAGUCCUCCCUGAGCCACAGGCAGUCCAUGAAGUGCCUUCCUGGGAACGGUAGGACAGUGAGGACUCUAGAUUGCUCCCUAUGGAUGGGUGGAUCUGCCCUGCAGAAACUCCCGGAAUUGACGUUGACACCCCGGCCGAUGGAUUGGACGCCCCAGCCCGUCCGUUCCUGCCCAGCCGCUGGGUCCCUGUCAGGCGGUGGGACUCCCAGCCUGUCCAGGGGGCUGUGGCGUCGAAAGUGCCCAGAGCUGAGCCAGAGGAUUGAAAGGGACUAACCCAGUGAGGUGAAGAAACAAGGAAGAAGGGAAGUGAGGCAGCAGCCAAGCAGCACCAAGUUCCUCUGUCAGCAGGUGAGUUGUCUUGAGGCUCCUAAGGCAGGCACUCGGGACUUUGGGGGCUCCAGACAGAGAAGACCUCGAAGGUCCCUUGAUGAAGCCCCUCAGAAACCUUAUCAGGGUAGGUGUGUAUGGUUGUAAGUGCUGGGGAACGUCCUGAGCGUGGAACAGGAAUGCAGGGAACAAAAUGAACCCUCAGGGAAUGCUGAGCUGCAGCGGAGGCACCUCUGUGUGCACUGUGGGAGCUGAUGGCCAGGGCCCCCGGUGGGCUGGGAUCAGUGCAGGGUGUUGUCAGCAAGGAAUGCCUGGCUUCUAAAACUCACCAGCUGAGUCUUAGAGGCUUCUUUGCCAAGCUGUUUUCAGGCAGCCAAAUUGGCCCCAGGCAGGGACUCUGCGCCUGCUCUCCUGGUGUUCCCAGGGAUCUCUGGGCCUUCACGCCGGCACCGAGAUGUUCUUGGGAAGGCCCUCAGAUCCCCGGAGCAGUCUGGGACACGGGCAAGAUGCCCCUGCAUUUCGGGGGCAGAUUGGGCCCCCCUGGAGGGACAGUGCUGUUGCUGCCCCCCGGGCUGGGACACUCGGAGAACUCCAGCGCGCACCGAAAUUGUUCUUCGGGGAUCUCCUCUGGGUGCCCCAAGCUGGGGAGCUGAAAGCAAGGUCCCUGGAAUGGAUUCAGGCAUUCCUGAGAGUAUCAGAGGUGUAGCUGUGUGUCCUGGCCAUGGAGCUCUGGAAUGGACUGUAACUGGGUUCUAAAAGUGGUGCUCCAACUGUAAAAGGACUCUGGGAUUGGAAUUAAGGAAUGAGUGGUGAUGGUACCGUUGGCUGUUUUCUCUUGAAUGCACUUGUGAGAGCUGUAGGAUUGCAAGGUGUGGGUUCCAGUCCCCACUGUUUGGUUUGCACGUGUCCUGGUCAGACACAGGUCCAACUUCCUUA